CCUACGGGUGGCUGCAGUGGGGAAUAUUGGACAAUGGGGGCAACCCUGAUCCAGCCAUGCCGCGUGUGUGAAGAAGGCCCUCGGGUUGUAAAGCACUUUCAGUGAGGAAGAACGCCUGGUGGUUAAUACCCAUCAGGAAAGACAUCACUCACAGAAGAAGCACCGGCUAACUCCGUGCCAGCAGCCGCGGUAAUACGGUGGGUGCGAGCGUUAAUCGGAAUUACUGGGCGUAAAGCGCGCGUAGGUGGCUUGAUAAGCCGGUUGUGAAAGCCCCGGGCUCAACCUGGGAACGGCAUCCGGAACUGUCAAGCUAGAGUGCAGGAGAGGAAGGUAGAAUUCCCGGUGUAGCGGUGAAAUGCGUAGAGAUCGGGAGGAAUACCAGUGGCGAAGGCGGCCUUCUGGACUGACACUGACACUGAGGUGCGAAAGCGUGGGUAGCAAACAGGAUUAGAUACCCGGGUAGUC
rnacentral:rRNA from 1 species